rnacentral:rRNA from 1 species
AACGUAGGUGGCGAGCGUUAUCCGGAUUUACUGGGCGUAAAGGGUGUGCAGGCGGGCUGUUAAGUGGUGUAUGAAAUCGCCGGGCUCAACCGGGCGAGGUUAUGCCAGACUGGCAGUCUAGAGAGCGAGAGAGGGACGUGGAAUUCCGGGUGUAGUGGUGAAAUGCGUAGAGAUCCGGAGGAACCCCAGAGGCGAAGGCGGCGUCCUGGCUCGCAUCUGACGCUCAGACACGACAGCAUGGGGAGCGAACAGG